GAACUUAAGCAUAUCAAUAAGCGGAGGAAAAGAAAAUAACAAUGAUUCCCCUAGUAACUGCGAGUGAAGAGGGACAAGCUCAAAUUUUAAAUCUAUCGGGUUUUACCCGAUCGAGUUGUAAUUUGAAGAAGCGUUUUCUGCGUUUUUGGUCAGCCCAAGUCCUAUUGAAUGAGGCAUCAUGGAGGGUGAUAAUCCCGUCCGGUUGAUCAUUUGCGUUUUACGAUACGCUUUCUAAGAGUCAAGUUGUUUGGGAUUGCAGCUUAAAAUGGGAGGUAAAUUUCUCCUAAGGCUAAAUAACGACGAGAGACCGAUAGCGAACAAGUACCGUGAGGGAAAGAUGAAAAGAACUUUGAAAAGAGAGUUAAACAGUACGUGAAAUUGUUGAAAGGGAAACGAUUGAAGCCAGUCGUACCUUCGGGUAAUCAGCUUUUCGGGUGCGAUUCUGUGGAGUGUGAUGAGCUUAACACCUUCAUGCUUUGCAUAUUUGUGCUCUUGGGUGUACUUGCCCGUGUGGUUGGUUAACAUCAAUUUUGGUUAUCAUAAAAUGAUUGGAGGAAUGUAGCUUCGAUCUCGUAUUGAAGUGUUAUAGCCUUCGGUAGAUGUGAUGAACGGAUUGAGGAUUGCAACGGAUACCCUUCGGGGCUACCUGUCUGGUCUCUGAUCGUUGCUCUGGUGCCGAAAGCUUGCUUACGGUCAUCAAAGUCGAUGGUCAAUAGGUUAGAACGGGUUAAAUUCGUUAAGGAUGUUGGCGUAAUGGCUUUAAACGACCCGUCUUGAAACACGGACCAAGGAGUCUAACAUAUAUGCGAGUGUUAGGGUGAUUAAACCCUUACGCGUAAUGAAAGUAAUUUUGGUGGGAACAUUUUUGUGCACCAUCGACCGAUCAGGAUAUUUUUUGAUAGAUUUGAGUAAGAGCAUAUCUGCUAGGACCCGAAAGAUGGUGAACUAUGCCUGAAUAGGGUGAAGUCAGAGGAAACUCUGAUGGAGGCUCGUAGCGGUUCUGACGUGCAAAUCGAUCGUCAAAUUUGGGCAUAGGGGCGAAAGACUAAUCGAACCACCUAGUAGCUGGUUCCUGCCGAAGUUUCCCUCAGGAUAGCAGAAACUCGUUAACAGUUUUAUGAGGUAAAGCGAAUGAUUAGAGGCCUUAGGGUUGAAACAGCCUUAACCUAUUCUCAAACUUUAAAUAUGUAAGAAGUUUAUCGUUACUUAAUUGAACGUGAACAUUCGAAUGAGAGUUUCUAGUGGGCCAUUUUUGGUAAGC
rnacentral:rRNA from 1 species